CACGCCCUAAACGAUCUUCUCUAGCUUUUCGGAGUAUCGACCCUCUGAGAGGCGAAGCUAACGCGUUAAGAGAAGCGCCUGGGUAGUACGAUCGCAAGAUUAAAACUCAAAGGAAUAGACGGGGACUUGCACAAGCAGUGGAUUAUGUGGUUUAAUUCGAUGGUAAACGAAAAACCUUACCCGGGUUUGAAACCUAGCUGAAUACUUUAGGAAACUUUAGUAGCCCGCAAGGGCAGUUAGGCAGGUGA
rnacentral:rRNA from 1 species